rnacentral:piRNA from 1 species
UCACACAAUAGACUUGCUUGCUUUUCCGCU